rnacentral:rRNA from 1 species
AGUGACCGAUAGCGGACCAGUACCGUGAGGGAAAGGUGAAAAGAACCCCGGUAAGGGGAGUGAAAUAGAACCUGAAACCGCAUGUUUACAAUCGGUGGGAGGACGUUGGCUUCGCGCCUGUCCGACCGCGUACCUUUUGCAUAAUGGGCUGGCUAGUUGUGGUAUGCAGCGAGGUUAAGCUUUUAGGCGAGCCGUAGGGAAACCGAGUCUGAAUAGGGCGUUUAGUUGCAUGCUGCAGACGUGAAGCCGGGUGAUCUAUCCUUGACCAGGGUGAAGCGCGGGUAAAACCACGUGGAGGCCCGAACCAGUGUCGGUUGAAAACGGCUUGGAUGAGUUGGGGAUAGGGGUGAAAGGCCAAUCAAACCCGGGAAUAGCUCGUUCUCCCCGAAAUAGCUUUAGGGCUAGCCUUUGGCGAUGGAUUGCGGAGGUAGAGCACUGGAAGGGCUAGGGGGCCUAUAAGCUUACCGAACCCUACCAAACUCCGAAUGCCGCAUAUCUUAGCCAGGGAGUCAGACUGCGAGGGAUAAGCUCCGUAGUCGAAAGGGAAACAGCCCAGACCGCCAGCUAAGGCCCCUAAGUGCAGGCUAAGUGGAAAAGGAUGUCGAGAUGCACAGACAGCCGGGAGGUUGGCUUAGAAGCAGCCAUCCUUUAAAGAAAGCGUAAUAGCUCACCGGUCGAGUGACUCGGUGCCGAAAAUGUACCGGGGCUAAGCCUGCCGCCGAAGCUGCGGAUUCAUAGGAACUCCGGUUCCUAUGAGUGGUAGGGGAGCGUUCUGUGUUGCUUGAAGUCAGACCGUAAGGACUGGUGGACGGCACAGAAGUGAGACUGCCAGCACGAGUAGCGAUAAAGAGGGUGAGAACCCCUCUCGCCGUAAGUCUAAGGUUUCCUGAGGAAGGUCAGUCCUCUCAGGGUUAGGCGGCCUCUUAGUCGAGGACGAAGGUCGUAGACGAAGGGAAGCAGGUCAACAUUCCUGCCCCGCCUGAAUAACGUUUGACCGAUGGGGUGACGCAGGAGGGUAGCUCAGCCUGCGAUUGGAAGUGCAGGUUGCAAGCAAGUAGCCGGGGGGACCAGGCAAAUCCGGGCCCCCAUUUCAAACGGUGAGAUGUGAUGCCGAGGUCUUCGGACCGCAAAGUGAGUGAUCCCACGCUGCCAAGAAAAACCUCGUAGGGAGUAAUUCAGGCGACCGUACCGCAAACCGACACAGGUAGACAGGGAGAGAAUCCCAAGGCGAACGAGUUAACACUGGUUAAGGAACUCGGCAAAUUGGCUCCGUAACUUCGGGAGAAGGAGCGCCCCGUUAGCGUGAAGGACCUUGCGUCCGGAGCGUGAGGGGGUCACAGAAACCAGGCCCAGGCGACUGUUUACUAAAAACACAGGUCUCUGCAAAGUCGAAGUCGACGUAUAGGGACUGACGCCUGCCCGGUGCCGGAAGGUUAAGAGGACGGGUUAGCCCUCGGGCGAAGCUCAGAAUUGAAGCCCCGGUAAACGGCGGCCGUAACUAUAACGGUCCUAAGGUAGCGAAAUUCCUUGUCGGGUAAGUUCCGACCCGCACGAAUGGCGUAACGAUCUGGGCGCUGUCUCGACCAGUGGCUCGGCGAAACUGAAGUGCCGGUGAAGAUGCCGGCUACCCGCAGCUGGACAGAAAGACCCCGGCACCUUUACUACAACUUAGUACUGGGUUUUGGUAUGUCGUGUGCAGAAUAGGUGGGAGGCUUCGAAACCAGGCCGCUAGGUUUGGUGGAGCCAACCGUGAGAUACCACCCUCGUUAUGCUGGAACUCUAACCCAGGUCCGUUAUCCGGAUCGGGGACAGUGCUUGGUGGGUAGUUUAACUGGGGCGGUUGCCUCCCAAAGGGUAACGGAGGCGCCCAAAGGUUCCCUCAGGCUGUUUGGAAAUCAGCCGCAGAGUGUAAAGGCAUAAGGGAGCUUGACUGCGAGACUGACAAGUCGAGCAGGUGGGAAACCAGGGCUUAGUGAUCCGGCGGUUCCGUAUGGAAGGGCCGUCGCUCAUCGAAUAAAAGGUACGCCGGGGAUAA